GACGAACGCUGGCGGCGUGCUUAACACAUGCAAGUCGAACGGAAAGGCCCUGCUUUUGUGGGGUGCUCGAGUGGCGAACGGGUGAGUAACACGUGAGUAACCUGCCCUUGCCUUUGGGAUAACUUCAGGAAACUGGGGCUAAUACCGGAUAGGAGCUCCUGCUGCAUGGUGGGGGUUGGAAAGUUUCGGCGGUUGGGGAUGGACUCGCGGCUUAUCAGCUUGUUGGUGGGGUAGUGGCUUACCAAGGCUUUGACGGGUAGCCGGCCUGAGAGGGUGACCGGCCACAUUGGGACUGAGAUACGGCCCAGACUCCUACGGGAGGCAGCAGCGGGGAAUAUUGCACAAUGGGCGGAAGCCUGAUGCAGCAACGCCGCGUGCGGGAUGACGGCCUUCGGGUUGUAAACCGCUUUCGCCUGUGACGAAGCGUGAGUGACGGUAAUGGGUAAAGAAGCACCGGCUAACUACGUG
rnacentral:rRNA from 1 species